rnacentral:rRNA from 1 species
AUUGAACGCUGGCGGCAGGCCUAACACAUGCAAGUCGAGCGGAGCGGCGGACGGGUGAGUAAUGCCUAGGAAUCUGCCUGGUAGUGGGGGAUAACGUCCGGAAACGGGCGCUAAUACCGCAUACUAUCAGAUGAGCCUAGGGCGGAGUAGCUAGUUGGUGGGGUAAAGUCCUACCAAGGCGACGAUCCGUAACUGGUCUGAGAGGAUGAUCAGUCAGACUGGAACUGAGACACGGUCCACAGUCCUACGGUGGACAGCAGUGGGGAAUAUUCGACAAUGGGCGAACGCCUGCUCCAGCAAUUACGCGUGUUGGAAGAAGGUCUUCGGAUUGUAAAGCACUUUAAGCUGGGAGGCGUUACCAACAGAAUAAGUACCGGCUAACCUCGUGCUAGCAGCCGCGGUACUAC